AUUGAACGCUGGCGGCAGGCCUAACACAUGCCAGUCGAGCGGAUGAAGGGAGCUUGCUCCUGGAUUCAGCGGCGGACGGGUGAGUAAUGCCUAGGAAUCUGCCUGGUAGUGGGGGAUAACGUCCGGAAACGGGCGCUAAUACCGCAUACGUCCUGAGGGAGCAAGUGGGGGAUCUUCGGACCUCACGCUAUCAGAUGAGCCUAGGUCGGAUUCGCUAGUUGGUGGGGUAAAGGCCUACCAAGGCGACGAUCCGUAACUGGUCUGAGAGGAUGAUCAGUCACACUGGAACUGAGACACGGUCCAGACUCCUACGGGAGGCAGCAGUGGGGAAUAUUGGACAAUGGGCGAAAGCCUGAUCCAGCCAUGCCGCGUGUGUGAAGAAGGUCUUCGGAUUGUAAAGCACUUUAAGUUGGGAGGAAGGGCAGUAAGUUAAUACCUUGCUGUUUUGACGGUACCAACAGAAUAAGCACCGGCUAACUUCGUG
rnacentral:rRNA from 1 species